CAAGUCGAGCGGUAACAGAAAGUAGCUUGCUACUUUGCUGACGAGCGGCGGACGAGUGAGUAAUGCUUGGGAACAUGCCUUGAGGUGGGGGACAACAGUUGGAAACGACUGCUAAUACCGCAUAAUGUCUACGGACCAAAGGGGGCUUCGGCUCUCGCCUUUAGAUUGGCCCAAGUGGGAUUAGCUAGUUGGUGAGGUAAUGGCUCACCAAGGCAACGAUCCCUAGCUGGUUUGAGAGGAUGAUCAGCCACACUGGAACUGAGACACGGUCCAGACUCCUACGGGAGGCAGCAGUGGGGAAUAUUGCACAAUGGGCGAAAGCCUGAUGCAGCCAUGCCGCGUGUGUGAAGAAGGCCUUCGGGUUGUAAAGCACUUUCAGUCAGGAGGAAAGGGUGUGAGUUAAUACCUCAUAUCUGUGACGUUACCGACAGAAGAAGCACCGGCUAACUCCGUGCCAGCAGCCGCGGUAAUACGGAGGGUGCGAGCGUUAAUCGGAAUUACUGGGCGUAAAGCGUACGCAGGCGGUUUGUUAAGCGAGAUGUGAAAGCCCCGGGCUCAACCUGGGAACUGCAUUUCGAACUGGCAAACUAGAGUGUGAUAGAGGGUGGUAGAAUUUCAGGUGUAGCGGUGAAAUGCGUAGAGAUCUGAAGGAAUACCGAUGGCGAAGGCAGCCACCUGGGUCAACACUGACGCUCAUGUACGAAAGCGUGGGGAGCAAACGGGAUUAGAUACCCCGGUAGUCCACGCCGUAAACGAUGUCUACUAGAAGCUCGGAACCUCGGUUCUGUUUUUCAAAGCUAACGCAUUAAGUAGACCGCCUGGGGAGUACGGCCGCAAGGUUAAAACUCAAAUGAAUUGACGGGGGCCCGCACAAGCGGUGGAGCAUGUGUUUAAUUCGAUGCAACGCGAAGAACCUUACCUACACUUGACAUACAGAGACUUUCUAGAGAUAGAUUGUGCUUCGGGACUCUGAUACAGGUGCUGCAUGCUGUCGUCAGCUCGUGUGUGAGAUGUGGGAUAAGUCCCGCACGAGCGCACCCUAUCUAGUGCUAGCAAGUAAUGCUGAAACUCUAAGAGACUGCCGGUGAUAAACCGGAAGAAGGUGGACAACGUCAAGUCUAUCAUGGCCCUACUGUGAGGGUCAUACACGUGCUUACAAUAGUGCGCACAUACAAAAAAGGCUGC
rnacentral:rRNA from 1 species